rnacentral:rRNA from 1 species
CAGCAGGCGCGCAAAUUACCCACUCCCGAACUGGGGAGGUAGUGACGAGAAUUAUCGGUCUUACUCUUUGAGCAAAAGACCGGAAUGGACGAAAUUCAGGNNNNUUCGUGAAAACUAGCGAGGGGCAAGUCUGGUGCCAGCAGCCGCGGUAAUUCCAGCCUCGCAUGUAAAUGUAAAAUUUGUUGCAUUUAAAACGCUCG